rnacentral:RNase_P_RNA from 1 species
UCAGAAGAUCGGGCAGCUGCUGGCCUUACGGCGAGAGGAAAGUCCGGGCUUCACGGAAAAACGGCGCCGGGUAACCCCCGGGGGGCGCGAGCCUACGGACAGUGCAACAGAAAGCAAACCGCCUGAUUAUUCAGGUAAGGGUGAAAGGGUGCGGUAAGAGCGCACCGCGCGGCUGGUAACAGCAGCGGCACGGUAAACCCCGCCGGAAGCAAGACCGAAUAGGAACACAUGAUGGCGUUUUUCCGCGCCGUGUUCGGGUUGGUCGCUCAAGCGCCUUCGUGAGACCGGCGCGUAGAUGAAUGGUUGCCGCUUCGCUUUGUGGAGUACAAAACCCGGCUUAUAGAUUUUCUGAAACU